GUGGUGCUUAGCCUGGGGCUGCCGAGCGUGGGCCAGGAUGAGGAAGCCCAGAAAAUAAAAGAUGAGAAAAGAGAACUACAGAAUUUCCUCCGGACCUAACGGCGGGGUUGUCGCGGUGAUGGAGAAGAGCAGUCGGGUCUUCUAGGAUUCUGGUUCUGAGAGGGCGAGCAGAGAGAGCGAGGUAGUGAAAGUAGGUCCUAAAAGCAAUGUAUUCUGGUGGCCGACAAAGCAGGGCCAAGAGAGCUCUCUGUGGGCUACGGGAGCCCCACACGGGCCGGACUCCGGCGCUGGGGUCAUCUUUUGAGGCUUAACAGCCUCAGUUCCGGAGCCUUUGAGCGUCAGGACUACCCGUCAUGUCGGACUGUCUUUCACUGAGCAUCUGCCCUGCCCUGCCUUCUCAGCCCAAAAUGAUCAGUCUUCGGCCGUGUCCCAAACGUGCUUUCCUCUCAGAUCUUUGUAUCAAACCUGAAUUAGUUCCGUUUUACCUUGAAGAAAUCUUAAGGUUUAAAGAAAUUUAAGAGCCCUGGCCAAGGCAACGUAGUGUCAGAGUUUGAACUCUGAUGGAUGUGUCUGGAGACCCGGCUCUAUCUGCUAAGUCAGGGUAUCUUUGUUAAGGUACUGUAGUUGAAUUACGGAAGAAAAGCCUAUUAUGCUGUAGAAGUUACGAGGAGAACUGCAAGAGGACCUGCCCAUUGCCCUUCCUUUCAGCUAGACUUCACUCUGCUCUUUGUCUCCCUUCCUCCCUCUCUUCCUCCCUCUCUCCUUCACUUCUCUCCUUUUUUCCCCCAGAAAACAUGAGAGAAAUAAAACUUCUGACUACAUAUAAACAUGUACCUCUGACUUGAGAGAAGACUUGGAGUCUUUCUAAACACCUCAAAUUUCCAGAAGGGCAAUGCCUGUGUAUACAGGUGAAAAACUGAGGCCCAAAUGUUCCAUGUCACACUACUCAAAAAUGGUGACAGAACUGAGAUACAAACCUAAGUCAUACCUAAGAAUCCUAAUACCCUUUUUGCUGGACUUUCUUUUUCACUGAAUCUAGAAUCAACUGGAUAUACAAAUGAUUUUGUUGAGCUGAGGCGGUGGGAUGCCUCCUAAUGGUAGUGUUUUGAAUGGAAUAAACUCAGAGGACAAUCUUUAAUUAAAAAACAUGAAGAACCAAUAAAUGGCAGUGGAAGUAAUGAAAGAACAAUCAGAGAACAGACCCAGAAGAAUUAAAAACAAGAGAAAAAAAAGGAACUGGUGCAAGAAAGUUCUGUGUAGAAGACUCAAGAAAAUUACAUAGCACAGAAGGAGAGAAGGAAGAUGAAACAGUGAUUAGCAGUCUUGGCAUCUUUAAAGACCUUAAAGAGGCUUAGUAUUUACAGAAACUAUUGCCAAGGAAUUAAGUGAUUGUAAGGACAUUAGCAGCCUUUAAAAAAAGCAUUUUCAAUUGAGUAAUGCUGAAGCAAAUUUGCAAGAGAUUAAGAAAUAAUUGGAUGAUAAAGAGGUGAAAGUUGUGAAUAUAAACAUUUACCAAGAGGUUAGUGAUGAAAAGCAAAUACUGAUGUGCUACAUGUAGCACUGAAAGUAGCUUAACUAGUCCUGCGUUUAGGAUGUAGUUGACAUUACUUACUUUAUGAUAAUACUCCUAAUAGAAACAUGCAACUAAAUGGACCUUUGUGGUAUGAGCAGGAAUUAGCCAGGCAUAUAUCAAGAGUACUGUAUAUGAAGAAAACUUGAUUUUCCCAGAGAACUCAAAAUAGUUCAGCAUGUCUGCACUAGAGUAAGGGAGAAGGAUUGAAAAAAAUGAUAACAGAAAGACAUAUGAGGUUUAACUUCUGAAGGUCCGUGAUUAUCCAUUUAAGGCAUCUGGACUUCAUCCUGAAGAAUUUGGGAAUCCAUGGAAGAAUGUUAAAAAGGGUAAUAUUCAUGCUUUAUUAUUGGUUCAUUUCUGCAUAUUAGUUACUUUCCCUAUUGGAGGAAAUUUUAAGACUGUCAACUGUAUUCCUGCAUAAAGUGACUGAAAGUGAAAGUUUUGACCACAUGGUCAUAUACCAACUAUCAACAGACUAAUGUGAAUUGGAGAACUACUGCUGGCUUCAAGAAGAAUGCAGAUAUGGUGGCCUAAAAAGUAAUGAAGGUUUGACAGACUGUUGAAUCUCUGACUGACUACAGAGUGCGGUGCAUUUCCAGUGAUAACCUUCUAAGAAUUAAAACAUUUGUGAAACUUC